rnacentral:rRNA from 1 species
AGAUCCGACUGCUAUCCGGGUAAGACUAAGCCAUGCAAGUCGAAUGGAAUCGCUGAUUCCAUGGCGAACUGCUCAGUAACAAGUGAUCAACUUACCCUUCAGUGGGGGAUAACCUCGGGAAACUGAGGCUAAUCCGCCAUAGUUGGCACACCCUGGAACGGGGUGCCCUCGAAAGAUAUUUCGAAAUGCCGAAUGUUCGCUGAAGGAUAGGAUCGCUUUCGAUUACGGUUGUUGGUGAGGUAAUGGCUCACCAAGCCUCUGAUCGAUAAGGGCCGUGAGAGCGGUAGCCCUGAGAUGGAUACUGAGACAAUGAUCCAGGCCUUACGAGGCGCAGCAGGCGCGAAACCUUUACAAUGCACGACAGUGUGAUAAGGUUACCCGGAGUGCUAAGAGAAAACUUUUAGCUGUUAUAGGUGUGUAAAUAACCCUAUGAGAAAGGAGAGGGCAAGGCUGGUGCCAGCCGCCGCGGUAAUUUGAGCCGUAUCAGUGCCGUAGGGAAACUGUUAAGCGCGCCGCCUGGGAAGUACGCUCGCAAGAGUGAAACUAAAGGAAU